ensembl:lncRNA novel transcript
AUUCCAUAUAUGAAAUGACUAUGGUUCAAAAGGUUAAGAUACUGGGAAAGUUUUUGACUGGCUCUAGUGUGUAUCUGAAAUUCCAGCAUCAAUCAGCUCAAGUGAAAAACCCAUUAUAUCUUCUCUUUACCUCUUGAUAUGGUUUGGCUAUGUGUCCCCACCCAAAUCUCAUCUUGUAGCUCCCAUAAUGCCUGUGUGUUGUGGGAGGGACCCAGCGAUAGAUAACUGAAUCAUGAGGGCAGGUCUUUCCUGUGCUGUUCUUAUGAUAGUGAAUAAGUCUCACAAGAUCUGAUGGUUUUAAAAAUGGGAAUUUCCCUGCACAACCUCUCUCUUUGCCUGCUGCCAUCCAUUUAAGAUGUGAACUUGCUCCUCUUGCCUUCCACCGUGAUUGUGAGGCCUCCCCAGCCACGUGGAAUGACUACAAAUGUGAAAGCUAAGAGGAAAACAAUUGACUUCUACAAGAGUACAAGCAAAAUUGUUUCGUAUUUGGUUAAAGAGCUGUUAGGCAAAUCACCCCAGGAGGAUGGAGGAUGAGAAUUCUGAUCCUUAGAAGAGGAUGUCCUGCUCACUCGGUUUUACUAUAUUAUUACGCUUUUCAAAUCAAUGGGUGUCAGAUCUCUCUUCAAAAUAUUUUAGAGAAUCUCACAUAGUUAGAACUGAUAAAGAUGUUAGAAAUGAUUAAAUCUAAUUUUCACAUCUUAUAAACAAAUAACUGAAUACUGCGAUGAAUAAUGAUCUGUAAUUUGGAAAGUGUUUCUACAUCCAUAGGAAUCAGACUCAGCCUCAUGCCUGGAUGGUGAAAAGUCACAUGACCAGUAAGCCGCCAUCCACAGGGCUCCUGCAGAACAGGCACAAAACAGAAAAGGACCGUGAGAUGCUGAGACUUGGUACAGUCUAAAAGAGCUAAAAUUCCAAAAACAAAAAUGACACGAAGUAUAUACUCUGGAUCAGAGAAAAAUGAAAUAAAAAGAACGAGGUUUAUAAAAUAAGGAAGAGGAGUCUAAGCAUAGAGAAGAGAACAAUUGCUGUCAGAUUACAACACCUCAGAGUCCAAGGAGGGGGCUAAGAAGAAAAAAUACAGAGAAGAAGCCGCCACUGCUGUUUUUAUAUAGGGGUAGAAGGUAUAGAGGUUUUUCUAUUUUAUUUAUUUUUUUUUUUUUGAGACGGAGUCUCGCUGUGUCGCCCGGCUGGAGUGCAGCGGCGCGAUCGCGGCUCCCUGCAAGCUCCGCCUCCCAGGUUCAUACCAUUCUCCUGCCUCAGCCUCCUGAGUAGCUGCGACUACAGGCGCCCGCCACCACGCCCGGCCAAUUUUUUUCUAUUUUUUAGUAGAGACGGGGUUUCACCGUGUUAGCCAGGAUGGUCUCGAUCUCCUGACCUCGUGAUCCGCCCGCCUCGACCUCCCAAAGUGCUGGGAUUACAGGCGUGAGCCACCACGCCCGGCCAUAUGUUAUUAAAUGAAAAUGCCAGCUUAAAAACAAAAGUGAGGAAAGCCAAGCUGAGGUACAUCCUGCAAGUUCAACAAAAUUUAGAAACAUUUCAUCAUGUGCCUCACAUAAACCAACAGAACUUUUUUUUCUGUUACAUUGUAUAUAAAAUGAACUUUGUGUGUUUUCUUUUAAAUUCAGGCUGAAAAAAUGUCACUCAUGUUUUUAUUAGAAUGGUAACCUUUUGUAAUAAAAAUAAUGUUCUUCAUACUAAUUUAUUUAGUGAUCUAAAAGAUGAAUAAGUCUUUACAUAGUUUGAUUCUAGUGAAACAAGGACAUUUUUGGGGUAGGAUGAAUGUGAGGAGUCAAACAU